rnacentral:rRNA from 1 species
GUUAGGAAUAUUGGACAAUGGGCGCAAGCCUGAUCCAGCCAUGCCACGUGAACGAUGAAGGCCUUCGGGUUGUAAAGUUCUUUAGCCGAUGAUUAUAAUGACUGUAGUCGGAAAAUAAGCCCCGGCUAACUUCGUGCCAGCAGCCGCGGUAAUACGAAGGGGGCGAGCGUUAUUCGGAAUCACUGGGCGUAAAGCGUGCGUAGGCGGUCUCGUAAGUUAGGAGUGAAAGCCCAGGGCUCAACCUUGGAAUUGCUCUUAAUACUGCAAGGCUAGAAUCUCGGAGAGGAUAGCGGAAUUUCCAGUGUAGCAGUGAAAUGCGUAGAUAUUGGAAGGAACACCAGUGGCGUAAGCGGCUAUCUGGACGAGUAUUGACGCUGAGGCACGAAAGCGUGGGGAUCAAACAGGAUUAGAUACCCGUGUAGUCC